GCAUAGGAAACUGCCCAGUAGUGGGGGAUAGCCCGGGGAAACCCGGAUUAAUACCGCAUACGUCCUUCGGGAGAAAGCAGGGGAUCUUCGGACCUUGCGCUAUUGGAUGUGCCUAUGUCGGAUUAGCUGGUUGGUGAGGUAAUGGCUCACCAAGGCGACGAUCCGUAGCUGGUCUGAGAGGAUGAUCAGCCACAUCGGGACUGAGACACGGCCCGAACUCCUACGGGAGGCAGCAGUGGGGAAUAUUGGACAAUGGGGGCAACCCUGAUCCAGCCAUGCCGCGUGUGUGAAGAAGGCUUUCGGGUUGUAAAGCACUUUCAGUGAGGAGGAAAAGUUAGUCCUUAAUACGGGCUAGCCUUGACGUUACUCACAGAAGAAGCACCGGCUAACUCCGUGCCAGCAGCCGCGGUAAUACGGAGGGUGCAAGCGU
rnacentral:rRNA from 1 species